CUGAACCUGAACCUGAGCCCAGCUGUGUGUCCAUGAAGAGUGAUCGGUCUAUGCGUCAUCUUAUUGUCUUCAAAGACAAACAGCACUCUGUGGAUUAUGGGAUCCAGCAGCAGAGAGCAGACUCCCCUGAGCCCAGCUGUGUGUCCAUGAAGAGUGAACGGUCUAUGCGUCAUCUUAUUGUCUUUGAAGACAAACAGCACCCUGUGGAUUAUGGAGUCCACCAGCAGAGCUCAGAGGUUCCCAGUGCUC